rnacentral:tRNA from 1 species
GGUUGUGGCUCAAUGGUAGAGUGCUCGCUUAGCAUGUGCAGGAUGCUGGGUUCGAUCCUCAGCACCA